ACAGGAGAAGUCGCUGGGGUGGGAGAUUUCAGUUAGUUCCCCGCAUGAGAUCAUUUCCUGUUAGUGGAGGCUUUUAAGCUUUGCACUGUGUUCCUGGCUGUGACUCGGCAGUGUUAUCUGGAGACCUUCAGCAUUUUUAAGAAUCUCCUUUGGCAGAAGUGGUUAAGUGAGCUCACGUUAGAAUGAGACGUUCCUCCCGGUGACCUCUGGGCUGUUGUAUCUCAGUGGCAGGACCCACUCGGGAGAGUUGGGGCGAGGCUGGCUGAGGUUCUCGAGGAGCUGAGUUUUGGGCUCAGGUGCCCACCCGGCAGUGGAAUGAUGCUUCCCGACGUUUCAAACCUUUGAGACCUCCGCGCACUCUUAGAAAGCACUUCAAGCCUCCCGUCGGCACCCGGCUGCCCAGGGGAACCCCAGGGACAGGUGUCAGAGAGAUCGUGGCCUGAGAGGUGAUGGAUACCCAGAUGCACUCACGACAGCAUCUCAAAGAUUCCACGCCACUAGCUGCUCCCAAGCAUGAAGCCACCUUCCUGGAGAGGCGGCCGGAAGCCAGCCUGGAGGAGGUUCUACUUUUUAUCUGGAGGAGGGACCAUCUUCUCAGGUGUCCUGGAUCUGCUGAAGGACCAUGAGGGGGAGGAGGAUGCGGGUCCCCAAGACAGAGCACAGCAGGUGGAACAGAGAAGCACCCAGAGCGGGACACAAGCCCAGCACCCUUCAGACUGGGGCACCCUGAGCUGCCGUUCAUGAUUGGACUGUCUUUGCUUUGUCAUCAACCAACUGACACCAGUUCUGGAUGCUUUUGAAUGGUUGGCUUUUUCUUGCCCCCUGUCUUUUCUUCUCUCUUCGUUGACCUUGGGAAUUGUAAGAGAAGAACUGCUUUGGAAAAUAUAAUUCUGUGGCUGAAAUUAGCCUUGUUUAUGAACCAAUUCUGUCCCUAGGGAUUUUUGAAUUGUCAUCCCAGAUUACCUAGUAAAUGGGGCUGCGUGGUUUGAUGUGUGUAGUACCGAUCUUUAGAUUAAAAAUACAUUUUCUUUCUUCCUUUCUUUCACAUCUGGAUCCAGGUAAUGGCCCGAGUCCCAUUUGCUUUGCUACUGAAGCGACGUCAGUGCGGCAUCGCUUGGGGUUGAAAUAAAUCAAACAUAUAUUAUACCCGGGUCUCUUGCAUGCUAUCUGAGAUGUAGGAUACUCCACAAAGAAACACAAACGUUGUAGGUGGAAAUUUAGUUCCUAUCUGAUCCUGCAGCUAGAAUGGUGGAGAAAUUAUGGAUAUCAAAAGUGGCUUCAAAUACUUUGAAUGUAAACUAACCAGGAGUAAGUGGAUGCUUCUGGAAGGUAGAGCAGGGACCAGAGAUCACCUGCCCCGUCAACCGUGCCCCUUCUGGAGGCAUCUGAGAACGAGGCCCACUUCUGUGUUUGCGUUUGCGUAGCCUGUGGCGUUUCUGACUUGUGUUCUGUAACUGGGCGUGCCUCGCAAUAAAACACCUUCC